UGGGGAAUAUUGCACAAUGGGCGCAAGCCUGAUGCAGCAACGCCGCGUGAGGGAAGACGGUUUUCGGAUUGUAAACCUCUGUCUUUGGUGACGAAGAAGUGACGGUAGCCAAGGAGGAAGCCACGGCUAACUACGUGCCAGCAGCCGCGGUAAUACGUAGGUGGCAAGCGUUAUCCGGAAUUACUGGGUGUAAAGGGAGCGCAGGCGGGAUAGCAAGUCAGCGGUGAAAUGCAUGGGCUUAACUCAUGAGCUGCCGUUGAAACUGUUAUUCUUGAGUGGAGUAGAGGCAGGCGGAAUUCCGAGUGUAGCGGUGAAAUGCGUAGAUAUCGGGAGGAAUACCGGUGGCGAAGGCGAUUUACUGGCCCAUUACUGACGCUGAGACACGAAAGCGUGGGGAGCAAACAGGAUUAGAUACCCUGGUAGU
rnacentral:rRNA from 1 species